rnacentral:rRNA from 1 species
UAAAGCUAAUAAGAGCGCAGGGCGGAUGCCUUGGCAUUGGGAACCGAAGAAGGACGUGGUUAACUGCGAAAAGCUGCGGCGAGUUGUAAGCGAACAAAGACCCGCAGAUAUCCGAAUGGAGCAAUCCAUAUGAGAGAAGCUCAUAUAUCAUAUACUGAAUACAUAGGUAUAUGAGGGGAACCUCCUGAACUGAAACAUCUAAGUAGGGAGAGGAAGAGAAAUCAACCGAGAUUUCGUAAGUAGUGGCGAGCGAAAGCGAAAGAGGCCAAACCGUAAUCAGCAAUGAAUACGGGGUUGCGGACUGCAAUUAGCAUUGUCAAAGCCUAGUUGAACAGGAUGGGAAGCCUGACCAAAGAAUGUGAGAGUCAUGUAAAUGAAAGGCAGAGACAGCGAGCAGGAUCCAGAGUACCGCGGGACACGUGAAACCCCGUGGGAAGCCGGGGGGACCACCCUCCAAGCCUAAAUAUUCCCCAAUGACCGAUAGCGAAGAGUACUGUGAAGGAAAGGUGAAAAGAACCCCGGGAGGGGAGUGAAAAAGAACCUGAAACCCUGUGCUUACAAGCACUGAGAGCACGUCAAAGUGUGAUCAGGUACCUUUUGUAGAAUGGUCCGGCGAGUUAUCAUAUGUAGCAAGGUUAAGGACUUAAGGUCUGAAGCCGAAGCGAGAGCGAGUCUUAACAGGGCGAGAAGUUACAUGUGAUAGACCCGAAACCGAGUGACCUAGCCAUGUCCAGGCUGAAGUGGAGGUAAAACUCCAUGGAGGGCCGAACCGACCCCCGUUGAAAAGGUGGCGGAUGAGGUGUGGCUAGCGGAGAAAUUCCAAUCGAACUCGGAUAUAGCUGGUUCUCCCCGAAAUAGCUUUAGGGCUAGCGUUGUGUUAGAUUACCGGAGGUAAAGCACUGAAUAGGCUAGGGGGCGAGAGUCUACCGACCCUUAUCAAACUCUGAAUGCCGGAUAAUUGAUGCACAGCAGUCAGACAGUGUGAGAUAAGUUUCAUUGUCAAAAGGGAAACAGCCCAGACCCACAGCUAAGGUCCCUAAUGUACGCUAAGUGGAAAACGAUGUGGAGUUGCGAAAACAACCAGGAUGUUGGCUUAGAAGCAGCCACUCAUUAAAAGAGUGCGUAAUAGCUCACUGGUCGAGUGACUCUGCGCGGAAAAUAUAACGGGGCUAAGCAUGCAACCGAAGCUUGGGAUUGUCAAAAGACAGUGGUAGGGGAGCGUCGUGUACGGGGUGAAGUCGCAUCGGAAGGAGCGGUGGACUGUACACGAGUGAGAAUGCCGGAAUGAGUAGCGAGAAUUAUGUGGGAAUCAUAAUGGCCGAAAAUCUAAGGUUUCUUGGGGAAGGUUCGUCCGCCCAAGGUAAGCCGGGAGCUAAGGCGAGGCCGAGAGGCGUAGUCGAUGCACAUACGGUAGAAAUUCCGUAACCACCGAAACUUAAGUUAGAGGGACACUUCGAGAUAGCGGAACCGCGGCGUUGGUAGACCGCGGCGAAAGGGACUGAAAUAUAGUAGGGAAGUCCGCGAUGCUCGGAGGCGAGAAAAGCUCUAAGGAAUGCUAAGGUGCCCGUACCGCAAACCGACACAGGUAGAUGAGGAGAGAAUCCUAAGGCCAACGGGAGAAGGGUUGUUAAGGAACUCGGCAAAUUGACCCCGUAACUUCGGGAGAAGGGGUGCUCCAGAGAUGGAGCCGCAGAGAAUCGGCCCAAGCAACUGUUUACCAAAAACACAGGUUUGUGCUAAAUCGAAAGAUGACGUAUACGAGCUGACGCCUGCCCGGUGCUGGAAGGUUAAGAGGAGAUGUGCAAGCAUUGAAUCGAAGCCCCAGUGAACGGCGGCCGUAACUAUAACGGUCCUAAGGUAGCGAAAUUCCUUGUCAGGUAAG